UACCCCUGGCAAUGGGCAAAGAGACACCUUGCUGCUGGUGGUGUUCUUAUGUCAGGCACGGGCAUAGCAGAGAUCAGUCCUUUGUUCAUCCUAGCUUGAUGCCUGAUCUGGUGGCCAAAGCUAUUUCAUGCUAGGGGACACUUAA